UGAAAAAUUAUUUUUCUUCGUAAAAUAACGAUGUGUCCCGUCUAUCUCGAUAAAAUUGAACAUUAUUGUAUUACGUCAAAGAGAGAAGAGAAAAUAUCUCAGUUCUGCAUAAAGAAGAAAAAGGAUUUUCACGGGAGAAAUGAUGUAGAUCGUGUUUCACGCAUCGAUAUGACAGACAGCGUGAAACCGUUUCGCCAGUUGCAGUUGUUCUAAACGAAUGAUUCAUCCACCUCCACGUUCCCACUUGCAGAACGGACCCUCUCCGGGCGCGAUUUACGCAUCAUCAGUUUUGAUAGGUCGCUAAAGGCUGCUGACUGAGACCUCCAUCGAAGAUCGCCGAAUUCCUUAUUCUCGAUCAAGCAUCUUACGUGGCGAGCAGACAAUUAAAUUUCACUCAAUUUAAAGAUCUCUUUAAACCUGAGCUGUACAAUCGUCAGAUCUUACAUGACAUACCGGUGGGAAGAGAAGUCUCUUAUAUAUCAGACGAAGCUUACGACGUGGGAAAUUCGAACGAGCUAAGGCAGCUGAUCAGACGCAACGGGGAGUCGGACAAGUAUCAACAUCUUUGUAAGAUAGAAAAGAAACUGAUGGAAUGGAAAGAUGACGUGUACGAGUAUCAACCGCCGUUUUAUGUUGAAACUUUUUGCAAGAACAUUUACGAAAGUGACAACAAACAAGAACAACAGAAAUGUGUUAAUCCGGGAUUUCACUGCGUGCAGAAAACUCAAACCAUGGUCUUUGUCAGGCGACCUUGGACGUCCACCAACAAUUGCUGGGAACUACAUACAAAAGACGUCGCCAGUGGUUGUGACUGCAUGUGGCCGUCUACUCUCGGAAAUAUAUUUGAUCAUUAUUAAUCAUUACAUUAAGCAAAUUUGCGAAUAAUACAAUUUGAACUUUUGCUAUACGCAGCGAAAGUAAAGUUGGAUAUACAUUUUCUAAGAAUGAUUAACAAUCUUUUUCUCUUAAAAAUAU